CAUGAUGUUUGAACUUUUGGAGCCAUGCUGUUCCAGGUGCUACAGAGGGGUACACCAUUAUUCUUAAUACCCCAGAUCUGAACGCCUCCAAACUUUAGGGAAGUUCGGAUCCAGUUUCAAACUUUACUUCUCGCACCCAUCUCUAAUAAUUGUUAUUAUUUGGUCGAGAAUAACAGUAAUAAUACCCAGCUCUUACAUCGUGUUUUGCAUUAGUAGCUCUCAAAGCAUUUUACAAAUGAGGUCAGGAUCAUUACUUCCAUUUUACCAAUGGGGAAAUUGAGGCACGGGAAGCCAAAGUGACUUGCCUAGUGUCACUGCACUGGCCAGUGACAGAGCCAAGGAUAGAACCCAGCUCUCCUGACUCCAGAGUUAUGAAGUUUAUACUUGGGUAGAGCUAAGAGGCAUGGUGGUGCUGCCUGCACCACACCUGUGUGUCUUCACGGUAUUCAAACUGGCACCUUUCACCAGCACAAAAUUCAACAACAUAAAUAAAUAACAAGAAGAAGAAGAAGGAAAAAUACACAGGCCCAAGCAAGCCCUUGAUUGCAUCACACAGAAAGAGGAUCAUAAGGCCCACUGGGUCAGAUGCCUGGGAGCCAAGCCAGCCUGGACGGUGUUUAAAUAGAAAGGUUAUAUCCCCUGUAUUGGGCAUGAAUUUCAGCUUUUCUGAUUUUCACCCAAAUCCAUAGGGCUGCCAACCCUCAGGGUCUAGCCUCCAGCAGUAUGCAGCCUCCUUGAGCUUGUCCCCUGGGGGAGAAACAAGCACACCCGCUGAAACACCUCUUGAGCAAGAAUAGAAUGUGGAAGGAGAUGAAAGUCUUCAGAACAUCCAGGAGACUGAAGAAAAAAAGGGGCAGGGAGGCAAUGGAAUCCAGUCUUGAUCUGAAGACCUUCAAGGGAUGGAGAAUCCACCACUUCCUUUGGCAGGCUGUUCUAGUGCUUAAUCAUUGGAUGGAAGUGACUUGCCCAAGGUACCACGCAGAGUCUGUGGCAGAGCAAGGAACAGAAUGCAGAUUUCUUGAGUCCUGGUCCAUUGCCUUAACUGUAAGACCAUCCAUCCCCUUAAUGGACCACUGACCCAUUUUAUUCACUAUUGUGAAAGUAUUAUCUAGCCUGGUGCUGCCUUUAGGUUUCAUUUGUUUGUAUGUAAAUCAGAUCAACCGUCUUAUUGUUUCUGUAUAAUGGAGUCAUUGAGUUUCUCUCUUACGUGUUAGU